AUUGAACGCUGGCGGCAUGCCUAACACAUGCAAGUCGAGCGGAUCGGCGGACGGGUAAGUAAUGCCUAGGAAUCUGCCUGAUAGUGGGGGAUAACGUCCGACAACGGGCGCUAAUACCGCAUACUAUCAGAUGAGCCUAGGUCGGAUUAGCUAGUUGGUGGGGUAAAGGCCUACCAAGUCGACGAUCCGUAACUGGUCUGAGAGGAUGAUCAGUCACAAUGGAACUGAGAAAGGGUACAGAAUCCUAGGGGAGGCAGCAGUGGGGAAUAUAGGACAAUGGGCGAAAGCCGGAUCCGGCCAGGCCGCGUGUGUGAAGAAGGUCUUCGGAUUGUAAAGCACUUUAAGUUGGGAGGCGUUACCGACAGAAUAAGCAACGGCUAACUUCGUGCCAGCAGCCGCGGUAAUUC
rnacentral:rRNA from 1 species